rnacentral:tRNA from 1 species
GCCUGGGUAGCUCAGUUGGUUAAGCCUCUGACUUCCGCUCAGGUCCUGAUCUCACAGUUUGUGAGUUCAAGCCCCAUGUCAGGCU